rnacentral:rRNA from 1 species
UACAGAGGUCUCAAGCGUUGUUCGGAUUCAUUGGGCGUAAAGGGUGCGUAGGUGGCGCUGUAAGUCGGGUGUGAAAUUUCGGAGCUUAACUCCGAAACUGCAUUCGAUACUGCGGUGCUUGAGGACUGGAGAGGAGACUGGAAUUCAUGGUGUAGCAGUGAAAUGCGUAGAGAUCAUGAGGAAGACCAGUGGCGAAGGCGGGUCUCUGGACAACACCUGACACUGAGGCACGAAAGCUAGGGGAGCAAACAGG